rnacentral:rRNA from 1 species
GAUGAACGCUAGCGGCAGGCUUAAUACAUGCAAGUCGAGGGGCAGCAGGGGUGUAGCAAUACACUCACUGGCGACCGGCAAACGGGUGCGGAACACGUACGCAACUUACCCAUAACUGGGGAAUAGCCCGGGGAAACCCGGAUUAAUACCUCGUAACAUAUUGAGAGGGCAUCUUCUUAAUAUUAUGGCUCCGGCGGUUAUGGAUGGGCGUGCGCCUGAUUAGGUAGUUGGCGGGGUAACGCCCACCAAGCCUGCGAUCAGUAACUGGUGUGAGAGCACGGCCAGUCACACGGGCACUGAGACACGGGCCCGACUCCUACGGGAGGCAGCAAGUAAGGAAUAUUGGUCAAUGGACGCAAGUCUGAACCAGCCAUGCCGCGUGAAGGAUGAAGGUCCUCUGGA